ensembl:lncRNA
AGAAACUUGUGGCUACAUCUAGACAGUGACUGAUGGAGAUGGAAAGAGGCACAGGGCUCUGUCACCUGCCUGCCUUCCUGUUGCACACCUGAUUCAUAGACAGUCAAAAAGGAACUGAACUGGAAUUUUUGACUUCUAUUGAUGUUACCACAAUAUCCUUCGAAAAGAACAACAUCAGCAAGAUGUUCCAUAUUUGCAAGUUCUAACUGAAUACUACAGUGAUACCUUCCCAAGACUUUGACUUCCAGAUAAUGCAGAUGAUAUGGUUUCCUUUUUGGCAGCCUUAUAGACAAACAGAAGAAGAAAUGCUACAACUGGACUGGAUAUGUCUAUCUGCAAAGGAGUCUCUGGUGAAAAAAUAUCAUGAAUAUCUCUCCUCUCCUCUCCUCUCCUCUCCU